rnacentral:rRNA from 1 species
UACAGAGGGUGCAAACGUUGUUCGGAUUUACUGGACGUAAAGGGCGUGUAGGCGGGAAUGUAAGUCGGGCGUGAAAUCCCUAGGCUCAACCUAGGAACUGCACUCGAAACUGCGUUUCUUGAGUAUCGGAGAGGAAAGCGGAAUACCUGGUGUAGAGGUGAAAUUCGUAGAUAUCAGGUGGAACACCAGUGGCGAAGGCGGCUUUCUGGACGAUAACUGACGCUGAGACGCGAAAGCGUGGGGAGCAAACAGG